rnacentral:snoRNA from 1 species
UGAUGAUGGUGAGGACAAUUACAAAGCAUAGACUUAAAUCUUUCUCAAGCUUGGUACAGAUUCUCUCCACCUUUCUACCUAAAACUCAGAAUUUUGCUUCUCAAUCG